ACGUAUAUGACAUAUGUCUACAAGUCUUUAAGAGUACAUAAAGGUCAUAAAGGUCGGGACAAAGUCCCGCCACACCAAACAUCACAUGUCUAAAUCAUACCAACCAAACACGCAACUCCGAAGCAAAUGAAGCGCACCAACAUCUUCCACUGAGCUGAUAGCCUACUUGGAGGGCUCUCGACCCGUCUGUCUGGACCUGAGGGCAUGAAACGCAGCAUCCCCAGGCAAAAGGGAUGUCAGUACGAAAUAAUGUACUGAGUAUGUAAGGUAAUAUACUAAAAGAACUGAACUGAUAAUAUAAUAACUGCAAUUAGCUGGAAGUCAAAGAUAAUUUGAAGAUAUACUUACCUACUGAUACUGACUCAACUCUCUCAAUAUAGUAAAUAAAAUAGUUGUCCGACCCUAUAAGGUUCGGUGUAUAUAUAACUGCUCUGCCGUAGUAGGAUCGCUCAUAAGCACUCGGCCAUACUAGGCUCUGUAUCUCGACCAACUGGACUCACUCAUAAGCGCUCGACCAUAGUAGGCUCGGUAUAUAACUUACCAUCUGAUCAGAGGUUGCCCAAUAGGGGCAUGCCUAUCGAUUAUAGCUCGAUGGUAAAGAAAAUACUUUUAAUGCUGUAUAUAUAUAAAUUCUCUGCUCUCUUGACUGGAAGAAGGAAAUACUCAACUGAAUAUGAAGUCCUGAUAAGGAGAAUAUUAUAAUUUACAAAACUAGGAAAAUAUACGCAAUUUGCGAGACUAGCAAAAUAUACGUAAAUUCCAGGAUAUGAAUUUUUCUUUAUGCCUUAUUAUCAAACGUGUAUAAUGAUGAGAUCAUGCUAAAAUGAAGGAAGAGCUUAGCCUUAAUAUACCUGUUUCUGCAAAAUUCUUGAACGAAAUUGUUCUUGCUUCUUUGAAAUUUAUACACAAAAUUUGGCUUUGGAUUUAGUUAAAAUUUUUGGACGAAACUGCUUCUGCUCUUUGGAUUUAGUAAAGUUAAGAAAGAAUCCUUAACUUUACUUGUUAAGGAAUGUUUAAGAAAGGAAUUUCCAAAUGAUCCUUACUUGCUCCUGUCACGUUUUUGUUUGGUUUAAGGCAAAAUGUAUAUUUCGUUAUUUCAUUUUGAA
rnacentral:lncRNA from 1 species